UCCAGCAACCAUAUCACCCUGCAACUCACAACUGGCAACCCACUGAAACUAAGGAGCUGUGAGCCUGGUCAGUACCUGGAUGUGAGACCUCCUGGGAAAAUCUAAGGUUGCUGCUGGAA
rnacentral:rRNA from 1 species